CAUCUCCCUCCUAACUCUCCUCCCUAACCUGAGCCCUCACCUCCUCCCUCCCUAGACGCCAUAGCGACUAGGGUUCCCUAGCCCGGUCCCUCCAUCUCCCACGUCCUCCCAACCUCUGCAACUUCGAUCCCCUCCUCAGUUCGUCUCUAUUCUCCCUCUCUUAACCCAGAACCCUAGCUAGCGACCUAGAACCCUAGCCGCUAGCUGCAAGAUUGGCUGCCACCGCUGGCGGCCAGCUCCUCUUGGAUUCGUUCCCAUACAAGGAGAUUGAUAACGGCGUGUUGUGGGAGGUCGAAAGAAAGCUUCGCCCCUGACUGCAUCCAGAAGCCCCCGCAGCCGCGGAGGCACCGCGUGCCCCGGGACCCGGUGGGGACCAAGCAGAACGCCCUCAUCUUUCUGUCCCUGCUGGUCGUGCUGUUCACUGUAGCCACGGUGUGGCGCUACCGUGGCCAGCCGCUUCCCGUCGCGCCGGUGUGGCAGCUCUCCUUGCUGUUUUCCUUGCUCUGCCUUCCAUGGGUCAGCUUCCUCAAGGUGACUACGCGCACUCGAUCACAUGGUGUUCCUCUACCUCUCCCACGGGGUACUGCUGGCCGUCAUCGCGCACCUAACCCUGAGCCCCAAGGUCGGGAUGCUCACCGUGCACCUCAACACCCACGUCGCCGCCGGCUUCCUCGGCUACGCGCUCGCCGAGCGCCACCUGCACGAGGCAACCGAGAGGUACGACAUCCCCAUGCCGGCCACCAAGCAGCAAGCCGACAGGCUGCGCGGCCUUCGGAUCGCUGCCGGGCUCUGCUGCGGCUUGAUCACCAUGGGAGCUGCCGUUCGCGUGGCGUGGGUGGUGCGCCACGCCGAUGAGUACGCCACGAGUGAGCUCCUGCUGAGCAUCCUCGUGCUGUUCCCUGGUAUCCUUACCUUGUGGGAUUUCCUUUGUGGCCGCGUUGCUGCGGGGCGCGCUCAUGGGGGCAUGGUGGCCUGGCCCUCGUCUACUCCUACUUUGGUUUCGUUGCGAUGGUGUUCGUGCUGUCCCUUGUCACCCUUGGGUUACGCGGCGGCGGCGGCGGCGAUUAACGUGUGGAUCAUUCUAGGCUUGAGUGGGUUUUUUGGCUAUAAGACUAUUCACUCUGCGUCUACGGCUCAUACAAGGAGAUCCUGGGGAAGAUGAGGGACAACAAGGAGCCUCACUUGAAAGGGUCGUCAUCAUCAUCAUCGUCUGCUGAGAACCUGCUGCAAUCAACCACAGGUAAGUCCGAUGGGAGCAGCAAUGAUGGAACUGCAUCGUAAGGACUAAGGACCAUCAGCCAUCAGUAAGGCCAUCAUCAGCAACCAGGCGAUCUUCUUUAACCUUACUACCUAAUCUGGAAUAUUACCGUGUAAUGUUGCACUAGUCUCCAACUAUCUUUUUUUUUUCUAGAACCUGUUUUGAACCAUCUUAAGGGAUUGUGGAAGGCAUAUGUAUUGUGAUGCUGCCAUAUCAGCUUCUAUGU